rnacentral:tRNA from 2 species
GCCCGGGUGGUGAAAUUGGUAGACACAAGAGACUUAAAAUCUCUCGACCCUUAGGGUCGUGCCGGUUCGAUUCCGGCCCCGGGCACCA